rnacentral:lncRNA from 10 species
GAAGAGUGCAGGAGAUGGCCUGGUGCACAUUUUCUCAUCUAAUGGGGGAGAUAAAAGGGAACUUAGGAGAGAUGACAUAGAAUCCUCAUGGAACUGGAGGAAACAAUGAGGAACAAUCAAGUCUCUAUUGUAGAAUUCUACCCAUAAAAGCUUUCAGAAAGACUCUCGUCUAAGUCUUUCUUCACUGCUCACUCAAAAAUUGAUUCGCAACUAAAUAAUGGAUGUGUUUUCUCAAGCAAAUGGAAAUGUACUUAAAUGGAAUGUAGAAUUGAUGCUGCUUUUUUCUUAAUCCUGAAGCAAAUAUACUUCUCCUUCCACAGAAUUAGUUUCCUCUAAUAUGCUCUCAGUGCAGUUAACACUGGGAGAGGACGACUAGAUGCUCAACGUUUUGAAUUCUCCUAUUCUCUGCCCCAUGCAUCUCUUCCUUUGGCUGAUUUUGGUAUAUAUUCUUUUGCUGCAAUAAACUGUAACCAUGAGGACAAU